UGUGUGUAUGAGAAAUAAGACACCUAGUAGUUCUACCAGGACAUCCACCUUUACUAAAGGCCCUAAAAUACACUGGAACAUCACACAUUCUCUACUCCAUGGUUUAACGAAGUAGAAGCGAAAGGAGGGAUGAACAGCUAAACUACAUAACACAGAGUGUUAGAUAGAGAAGACGCAAUCCACAAAGUGUUUGAAGUUCUUUUUCAGUAGGAGAUGAUGAAAAUCCUAAUGUUUCUGAUCAUCACCGCCCUUACUCUUUCAAUUAAAAUACAGCCCACCUUAAAG